UACAGAGACUGCAAGCGUUAUUCGGAUUCACUGGGCGUAAAGGGUGCGCAGGCGGUCGGGUGUGUCAGAUGUGAAAUCCCGAGGCUCAACCUCGGAACUGCGUCUGAAACUACUCGACUAGAGUACUGGAGAGGGUAACGGAAUCCACGGUGUAGCAGUGAAAUGCGUAGAUAUCGUGAGGAACACCAGAGGCGAAGGCGGUUACCUGGACAGUUACUGACGCUCAGGCACGAAAGCAUGGGGAGCAAAAGGG
rnacentral:rRNA from 1 species